AUGGCUUCUCGGCCUUUUGGCUAAGAUCAAGUGUAGAGCAGCAUUAUCAACAACAGCAAACCUAUGGAGACAGCCCAAAUGUCCAUCAACUGAUGAAUGGAUAAAAAAGAAGUGGGGGGUGUGUGUACGUAUGUAUGUAUAUGUAUAUAUACAUAUAUGUGUGUAUAUAUAUAUAUAUAUAUAUAUGCACAAUGGAA
rnacentral:snRNA from 1 species